GCCAGGGAUUGAACUUGUGUCCUCAUGCAUACGAGUCAGAUUCAUUUCCACUGAGCCACGACAGGAACUCCCUAAAUAUAUUUGUUAAUAAACCAGUGGUUCUCCAGACUUUUCCAUGUACUAAGUGCUAAAGCGAACGAGAUUCUUCUCAAAAUAUGUUGGUGGCUUGAGAGAUGUCAUGACCAAGUGGUGAUCUAUGCAGAAGCUUCGAGAGCCCUGGAUCUCCCUUGGACUGGUUCCUGGCAUGGAGCAGUGACUGAUAGAGGCUUGCCUUUUGGAAGGACUUUCUGUUCCUUUGACUUUUUGAUGGGGACUUACAUACUGCAGAAAGUGCCUCAUCCUUCUUCUGAAGGAGCUU